rnacentral:rRNA from 1 species
UAAGACGAACCGUGCGAACGUUGUUCGGAAUCACUGGGCUUAAAGGGCGCGUAGGCGGGCCAUCAAGUCCGGGGUGAAAUCUUUCGGCUUAACCGGAAAAUUGCCUUGGAUACUGGUGGUCUUGAGGGAAGUAGGGGUCUGCGGAACUUCCGGUGGAGCGGUGAAAUGUGUUGAUAUCGGAAGGAACGCCGGUGGCGAAAGCGGCGGACUGGGCUUCUUCUGACGCUGAGGCGCGAAAGCUAGGGGAGCAAACGGG